GUCAUAGAGUCACCGUCCAAUCGGCGGCGCGCUAUGGUUCAUCUAGAAUCAUACCAAUUUUAUUAUUAUAUGAAACAAUACUCUGUUAUAUAUAAUAAAUUUCAUGCGUACCAUUUCAUGUUUAAUUACUAUUGUCGAUAUAAAAUAUACUACUUAAUUUUAAAUCCAGACAAUGGUGAAGCAUUGAAGAGUUGGAUUGCAAUGUUGGCAAAAUUGGUAUCGAUCGAAAGGGAUCAAAUCACGAAAACUUCGCUAAGGAACUCUAUGUCAACCUCGAACGCGAUAGAAGUGAAGUUAUGGUCGGUAUACCUUAUGAUCUCAUCGUGAGCCACGUUGUUUUGCGACUUUGAUCCGCAAAAAGAUUAUGAUUUUCUUAUGCAGACCUUUAAUUUUACAACUUUCGUGGGUACGACUGGAGAAGGGAUCCCCGCGGAAUUUCGACCCCCCUUUUGUCUUGUCCCCCUAAUUAAGGGCUCC
rnacentral:lncRNA from 1 species